GCUGAAGAAGCCCUUUCCGUUGUGAGCUGAUUCUAUCGCUCCUUUCGCCUUGAGCUCCCGUAGUUCUCCGUCGAUUAGGCGGCGGUCCUCCUCGAAGCAUUGAAUGGGAUGCGGAGGAGCGAGCUGGUAAGGGGGUUCUACGAAGUCGAUGACGUAACCCUGAACCGUCUGGAGGAUCCAUGCAUCCAUGGAGAUGGUUGUCCAGUUCUGAAAAGACAGAGCAAUACG